CGUAUCCUCGCGGAGGCGUUGGGUGGGAGAUUAAGUAAGUAGAAAUGCACAGUUGGAGCCCUAUUGCAGGCUACAAACAUUACCAUUGAAGGAAAGUCAAUCAGCUAGGAGUUAAAAACAUAUCAGGCAUAUCUCCUGCGGCAAUGAGGUCCACAAGGAAGUUCCUGAACUGCCCGCUAGCAGAUGACAAUAAUGACUGCUGAUUCGGAUACAGGUCAUGAGGUUUAUCCAUUGGUAAAUGUAUUUUCAUUUGUGACUUCUAGAAGGUUUGUACAAAGUAUCAUCUGAUUCAGAUACACCAUACACGUGGUCUUACCAUUAUUCAUACCUUCUGUAGUGGAUAACGCAAUCAAAGUCAGAAUUUUAGCUUA